GUCACCGGCAGACGAGGUAGUAACACGUAGGAACGAACCAUGAAGUCAGGGACAACCCAUCGAAAGAUGGGCUAAUACUUGAUAGUCUCGCGAGAGUAAAGAUUUAUCGCUUCGUGAUCGGCCUGCGGAAUAUCAGCUAGUUGGUAGGGUAAUGGCCUACCAAGGCUAUGACGUUUAGGAGAGGUGAGAGCCUGGCCUCCACCGAUGGGACUGCGACACGGCCCAUACACCUACGGGUGGCUGCAGUCGAGAAUCUUCCACAAUGGACGAAAGUCUGAUGGAGCGACGCCGCGUGACUGAUGAAGCAUUUCGGUGUGUAAAGGUCUUUUAUGAGGGAUGACAUAGCGACAGUACCUCAUGAAUAAGGGGCUGCUAAUCACGUGCCAGCAGCAGCGGUAAUACGUGAGCCCCGAGCGUUAUCCGGAAUUACUGGGCGUAAAGUGUGCGUAGGCGGUUAUGUUAGUCUUCUGUUAAAUCCACCGGCUCAACCGGUGAACCCCAGAGGAAACGGCAUGACUCGAGUGUGUAAGAGGUUUGCGGAACUUAUGGUGUAGGGGUGAAAUCCGUUGGUAUCAUAGGGAACACCAAAUGCGAAGGCAGCAAACUGGUACAUUACUGACGCUGAGGCACGAAAGCGUGGGUAGCGAAUGGGAUUAGAUACCCCAGUAGUCCACGCCCUAAACGAUGAUCUCUCGCCUUUCGGAGUAUCGACCCUCUGAGAGGCUAAGCUAACGCGCUAAGAGAUCCGCCUGGGUAGUACGAUCGCAAGAUUAAAACUCAAAGGAAUAGACGGGGACUUGCACAAGCGGUGGAUUAUGUGGUUUAAUUCGAUGGUACACGAAAAACCUUACCAGGGUUAGAUAUUCUAUGGAAAGACUAAGGAAACUUAGUAACUCCGCAAGGACCGUAGAACAGGUGAUGCAUGGCCGUCGUCAGUUCGUGGUUUGAACUGUUCCCUUAAGUGGGGUAACGAACGCAACCCCUGUCGUCUGUUACAAGUGUCAGGCGAGACUGCCC
rnacentral:rRNA from 1 species